rnacentral:lncRNA from 1 species
GGGCGGGCCAAAACUCCCAGGGGGGGCGUGGCUUGUAAAGGAGGCCCCUCCCCCUCCUCUGUAUAUCUGGGUCUGGGGGGCUCCCAAGAGUGGCGGAUCUUUAUUGGGUGGGGGGGUUGUUUUAAGCACUGUUAGGCUGUUCUAUGGGCCGGGCUCGGGAGGUCCAUAGGUCUUACGAAUGGGGUCUUCGUGCCUAUGGUGCCUGCUUUCACAGUGAUUUGGGGGGGGGUCUUAGUGGUCUCAAUGGGGGGGGGUCCCUCAUGGGGGGGGCUAUGGGGGUCCUAAAGCUCCAUAGGGGAUAAUGGGGGGGUCUUAAGACUCCAUAGUGGUGUAUGGGGGGGUCCCAGGGCUCCAUAGGGAACAAUGGGGGCAGGGGUCUUAAGGGGGGUCCCACAUCUCCAUAGGGGUCUCAGUGAGUCCAUAGGGGUCCGGGGGGGUCCCACAGCCCCAUAGGGCUCCAUGGCUGCUCCCGGUGCCAUUCCCGGUUCCGAUCCCGGUUCAGAUCCCGGUUCCAUUCCCCAUUCAGAUCCCGGUUCGGAUCCCGGUUCGGUUCCCCCUUCACCUCCAUCCCGUUGGGCUCCAUCCCGUUCGGAUCCCGGUUCGAUUCCCCGUUAUUCGAAUCCCGGUUCGAUUCCCCCUUCAGUUCCAUCCCGUUCGGAUCCCGGUUCCAUUCCCCGUUUAAAUCCCGGUUCUGAUCCCAGUUUAAAUCCCGGUUCGGAUCCCGGUUCAGAUCCCGGUUCCA